AAGUCGUAACAAGGUAACCGUAGGUGAACCUGCGGUUGGAUCAUUAUAAAACUUUGGAUUCGUUUGGAAAGAACGCUCGGAUCUCUGUGACCAGUUUUCAAGUACGAAUGAAACUCCCUUUCGAAAAGGGGGUACCCACAUUGUGUGAACCUGUACAUUUCCCUCUCCGGGGAUGUCUUGUGCUCAACUUUUGUGUUUUGGGGAAUGCUUCUGAGAGUUCGACUGGGGCAGAUGUUCCGGUCUUUUUUGAACACAAUCAUUCAAAAACAACUUUUGGCAACGGAUCUCUUGGCUCUC
rnacentral:misc_RNA from 1 species